UGGGGAAUAUUGCACAAUGGGGGAAACCCUGAUGCAGCAACGCCGCGUGAGCGAUGAAGGCCUUCGGGUCGUAAAGCUCUGUCUUAGCUGACGAUAAUGACGGUAAGCUAGGAGGAAGCCACGGCUAACUACGUGCCAGCAGCCGCGGUAAUACGUAGGUGGCAAGCGUUGUCCGGAAUUACUGGGCGUAAAGGGAGCGUAGGCGGUUUAUUAAGUGAGAUGUGAAAUACCCGGGCUUAACUUGGGAAUUGCAUUUCAAACUGGUUGACUAGAGUGCAGGAGAGGAAAGUGGAAUUCCCAGUGUAGCGGUGAAAUGCGUAGAGAUUGGGAGGAACACCAGUGGCGAAGGCGACUUUCUGGACUGUAACUGACGCUGAUGCUCGAGAGCGUGGGGAGCAAACA
rnacentral:rRNA from 1 species